rnacentral:misc_RNA from 1 species
UUUCCGUAGGUGAACCUGCGGAAGGAUCAUUAAUGAAUUGGAUAUGUUAGCACACCUCUUCGCACGACCUAGCAUCAAAUCAUAUCCAUAACACCUGUCAACUGUAAGGCUGUCUAGAAAACGAAAGUGAUUAGAGCGCCCGCCCAUUUUAUACAAACAUUAAAGUAACAAAGGUAUCCUUACUAUAAUCAAAUAAAACUUUCAACAACGGAUCUCUUGGCUCUC